GUCAUUUGAUAAGAUAUAAAAAAACCGGUUUCUGAUAAGCGUGUGUGUAAGGACGUCCACUCCAUUACAGAGCUUCGGUCGAUAGGUGCACAGGUGUGGGUGUAUCGGGCGUGCACUUGCCCGUGAAGGCCAGCACAACCCUUUACUUGAAUUCGAUAAUGAUCCUUCCGCAGGUUCACCUACGGAAA
rnacentral:misc_RNA from 1 species